rnacentral:tRNA from 1 species
UGAUAUUCUAAUUAAACUACUUCUUG